UCUGAGCUCUUAUACCUGUGUGAACUUGGCACCCGACUUUGGAAAUAUUGGUAUUUUCAAUGGUUUUUCGAAAGAUUUCGAUUAGUAGUGGAUAGUAGUGAAGCUAUUUUUGUUAGUAGUAAUACCGAAAAAUUAGAAAAAAAUUGUAAAAAAAUGUCAUCCCCCGAAAUUAAAAAAAAAUGAUUUUUCCGGCUGUUUCUCAUAAAUGAACGUUAGUAGUGGAUUGUAGUGCAAUUUUAUUCGUUUGUAGUAAAAUAGAAAAAAAAAUAUUAAAAAAUUCGUUUCGGAGUAUUUUUUUAAAACGAUUUUUAUUACCUAAAUACUGUUUCAAGGCAUGUACGAUUACUACAAACGUUAAAAUUUACUAAAAAGGGUUCGUAGAGGUUAGUAGUAAAAGAAUUUUUGAUAGUAGUAAAGAUACAUGUUGACUAGAAGCACUUGAAAUGAGUCAAACUCGUUUCGGACCGAUAUUUGCUGGAUAAAAUCUGUUUGAAGAUAAAUUCGACUACUACAAACGUUGGAAUUGACUAAAAAGGGUUCGUAGAGGUUAGUAGAGGUUUGUAGUGAAAUAAUUUUCGAUAGUAGUAAAGAUACAUGUUGACUAGAAGCACUUGAGAUGAGUCAAACUCGUUUCGGACCGAUAUUUGCUGGAUAAAAUCUGUUUGAAGAUAAAUACGACUACUACAAACGUUGGAAUUGAUUAAAAAGGGUUCGUAGAGGUUAGUAGAGGUUUGUAGUGAAAGAAUUUUCGAUAGUAGUAAAGAUACAUGUUGACUAGAAGCACUUGAGAUGAGUCAAACUCGUUUCGGAGCGAUAUUUGCUGAACAAAAUCUGUUGGAAGAUAAAUUCGACUACUACAAACGUUGGAAUUGAUUAAAAAGGGUUCGUAGAUGUUAGUAGAGGUUUGUAGUGAAAGAAUUUUCGAUAGUAGUAAAGAUACAUGUUGACUAGAAGCACUUGAGAUGAGUCAAACUCGUUUUGGAGCGAUAUUUGCAGGAUAAAAUCUGUUGGAAGAUAAAUUCGACUACUACAAACGUUGGAAUUGACUAAAAAGGGUUCGUAGAGGUUAGUAGAGGUUUGUAGUGAAAGAAUUUUCGAUAGUAGUAAAGAUACAUGUUGACUAGAAGCACUUGAGAUGAGUCAAACUCGUUUCGGAGCGAUAUUUGCUGAACAAAAUCUGUUGGAAGAUAAAUUCGACUACUACAAACGUUGGAAUUGAUUAAAAAGGGUUCGUAGAGGUUAGUAGAGGUUUGUAGUGAAAGAAUUUUCGAUAGUAGUAAAGAUACAUGUUGACUAGAAGCACUUGAGAUGAGUCAAACUCGUUUCGGACCGAUAUUUGCAGGAUAAAAUCUGUUGGAAGAUAAAUUCGACUACUACAAACGUUGGAUUUGACUAAAAAGGGUUC